rnacentral:rRNA from 1 species
UACCAGCACCCCGAGUGGUCGGGACGAUUAUUGGGCCUAAAGCAUCCCGUAGCCGGCCUUACAAGUCCUCCGUUAAAUCCAGCUGCUUAACAGAUGGGCUGCGGAGGAUACUAUAAGACUAGGAGGCAGGAGAGGCAAGCGGUACUCAGUGGGUAGGGGUAAAAUCCGUUGAUCCAUUGAAGACCACCAGUGGCGAAGGCGGCUUGCCAGAAUGCGCUCGACGGUGAGGGAUGAAAGCUGGGGGAGCAAACCGGAUUAGCAAACCCG